UGGGGAAUUUUGGACAAUGGGCGCGAGCCUGAUCCAGCAAUGCCGCGUGCAGGAUGAAGGCCUUCGGGUUGUAAACUGCUUUUGUACGGAACGAAAAGCCUCUCUCUAAUACAGGGGGGUGAUGACGGUACCGUAAGAAUAAGCACCGGCUAACUACGUGCCAGCAGCCGCGGUAAUACGUAGGGUGCAAGCGUUAAUCGGAAUUACUGGGCGUAAAGCGUGCGCAGGCGGUUUUGUAAGACAGUGGUGAAAUCCCCGGGCUCAACCUGGGAACUGCCAUUGUGACUGCAAGGCUGGAGUGCGGCAGAGGGGGAUGGAAUUCCGCGUGUAGCAGUGAAAUGCGUAGAUAUGCGGAGGAACACCGAUGGCGAAGGCAAUCCCCUGGGCCUGCACUGACGCUCAUGCACGAAAGCGUGGGGAGCAAACAGGAUUAGAUACCCCGGUAGUCCACGCCCUAAACGAUGUCAACUGGUUGUUGGGGA
rnacentral:rRNA from 1 species